AGCGGAGCGUGUGGUUUAAUUCGAUGCUACACGAAGAACCUUACCAAGGCUUGACAUGCCACCAGUAGGAACUCGAAAGAGGGACCACCUGUAUCCAGUCAGGAUGUGGCACAGGUGCUGCAUGGCUGUCGUCAGCUCGUGCCGUGAGGUGUUAGGUUAAGUCCUGCAACGAGCGCAACCCUUGUCGCUAGUUAAUUUCUCUAGCGAGACUGCCCGUAAAACGAGGAGGAAGGUGAGGAUGACGUCAAGUCAGCACGGCCCUUACGCCUUGGGCUACACACACGCUACAAUGGUCAGCACAAUAGGUAGCCAAGCCGCGAGGUGGAGCCAAUCCUCAAAGCUGGCCUCAGUUCAGAUUGUAGGCUGCAACUCGCCUGCAUGAAGAUGGAGUUGCUAGUAACCGCAGGUCAGCAAUACUGCGGUGAAUACGUUCCCGGGUCUU
rnacentral:rRNA from 1 species